CGCGUAGGUGGCUAGAACAGUCGGGUGUGAAAGCCCUGGGCUUAACCCAGGAAUUGCAUUCGAUACUGCUUAGCUAGAGUGCAGUAGAGGGAAGCGGAAUUCCGGGUGUAGCGGUGAAAUGCGUAGAUAUCCGGAGGAACACCAGUGGCGAAGGCGGCUUCCUGGACUGACACUGACACUGAGGCGCGAAAGCGUGGGGAGCAAACAGGAUUAGAUACCCUGGUAGUCC
rnacentral:rRNA from 1 species